rnacentral:lncRNA from 1 species
UCCCAAUAGUCAUUAUUGAGCUCUUGCAGAGAUCAAAAACAGUAGCAACUCGAUCUCUUGUACACCUCAGAGAACAAGUUUGAACUAUCGCUAUGUUAUAUUGAAGUUAUUCACCUUGCACAUCGUUUGAGAGAUUAAAACCUUCAUGGAGGGAAGUUAAAAUAGUUCUUUGAGAUCUUUUUAAGUUAUAAGACAGUUUUUAUUUACAAUGUAAAAUUUAUAAAACCAAAAAAACAUGAAAGAUCCCUGGAAAAAUUGUGGAAUGUUUUGUUACCUCUGGACAUUAGAAAAAACGAAUCAAAAAAUUAUUUUGCAACAUGAGUCGAGGCAUGGUGGAGUAAAUUGCUUCCAAUAUUAGCCUCUUUUUCGUGCCGGUAGAUUCGAUGAGAAAGAAUUCGUUUUGUCCGAAUCAUGUUUUUGCUUGUAAAUUAGUUGACAACUAACGGAUAAAUAAAAUCAUAUGAUGGUCUCUAUUGACUUAGGAUUUUUCUGGAGGCUCCUCUACUUUCCGAAAUUUCGAGAAUAUUCUCCUGACUUGCCUUAUGAAUAAAUUUCAUUUCAAAAAAUGAUUUACCAACUUUUGAUAGUCUAUAAGAACAGUUAAAUCCGGCAACUUUUUAAUACUGUUAAAUUGAAAAGUUUGUUCAUUUUGCUUAUAAGUUUCCAUAUAUUUUAAAAUUCAAACUAGCUAAAACAUCUGCCAAAAUAUUGGAACGCACGCAUGUGUUACCAUCGUAUUAUGUAUAAGAUAUUCCGCUUUGUUCUUUUUAUUAGAUACAAUUAAAACAUCAA